rnacentral:rRNA from 1 species
CGGACGGGUGAGUAACGCGUGGAAAACCUGCCGUAUACUGGGGGAUAACACUUGGAAAUAGGUGCUAAUACCGCAUAAGCGCACAGCUUCGCAUGAAGCGGUGUGAAAAACUCUGGUGGUAUACGAUGGUUCCGCGUCUGAUUAGCUAGUUGGUGGGGUAAUGGCCUACCAAGGCAACGAUCAGUAGCCGGCCUGAGAGGGUGAACGGCCACAUUGGGACUGAGACACGGCCCAAACUCCUACGGGAGGCAGCAG